rnacentral:rRNA from 1 species
GACAGAGGUCCCGAGCGUUAGGCGGAAUCACUGGGCUUAAAGCGUGUGUAGGCGGACUUCUAAGUACCUUGUGAAAUCCCACGGCUUAACCGUGGAACUGCUUGGUAUACUGGUUGUCUUGGGCCAUCUAGGGGCUAGCGGAACAAACGGUGGAGCGGUGAAAUGCGUAGAUAUCGUUUGGAACGCCAAUGGUGAAAACAGCUAGCUGGGGAUGUGCCGACGCUGAGACACGAAAGCCAGGGGAGCGAACGGG